UAGGUCAACUUAUGCCUUGAUGAUGUUUACAGUUUGUGGCAAAAUUCUGGAGGCUGCUGUUUGUGUGGUGUGCGCAUUUGAUAUUCCACUUGAAAUUCUUUUGCUUUUCAUUUCAGCAUUGCCAAAGGAAUUUACGGAUUAUGGUGGCCAGUUAAGGGUUCCUUCGCAAAGAUGGCUUUCAGGUUGUGGUUACAAGGAUAGGUGUGCCAAUUGCUGUAAUAAUGAGAUAAAGCUGUGGAAUAGUCUUUAUGACUUCCCACAGAGGUUUGUCAGCAAUUGAUCUUCCAUUUGAUGUGUCUUUUACUUAUGACGAUAAGAUUGAGUGCAUGGGAGUCGUGAAGCAAAUAGAUGGGCAAAGAUGCUUUCUUUCUACUGAGCAUGGCCAUCUCCUGGAACCUAUUUUAGUGUUUAUUCGAAAUAACGGUACAAAUAUCUUGAAACAAAACCAUGUACUAGAUACAUAGUAGUCAAAUUCAUGAUUCUUGUCUUGAGCUUAGUUAUGGAGCUUCGCAGAGCAAAGGAAAGAGCAGUUGAAUAUAUUGCUAAAGCCGGAGCAAAUGUAGAGAAGCCCUUGCCUGGUGUAGUUGAUCAUCUGGGUUUCAUUGAUGACAUCUCUGAGAAGCUUUCUGAUGAAUUUAUAUAUUUAUUGGUA